ensembl:snRNA U6 U6 spliceosomal RNA
GUGCUCACUGCGGCAGCACACAUACUAAAAUUGGAAUGACACAGAGAUUAGCAUGGCCCCUGCACAAAGAUGAUAUGCAAAUUUGUGAAGUAUUCUAUGUUUUU